CAGGUAGGCUGGCAGAGUCUGUCCGCCUGCCGCGUGCGGGAAGAAGGCCUUCGGGUUGUAAACCGCUUUGUCAGGGAAGAAACGGUCUGCUCUAAUACAGUGGGCUAAUGACGGUACCUGAAGAAUAAGCACCGGCUAACUACGUGCCAGCAGCCGCGGUAAUACGUAGGGUGCAAGCGUUAAUCGGAAUUACUGGGCGUAAAGCGUGCGCAGGCGGUUAUGCGAGACAGAUGUGAAAUCCCCGGGCUCAACCUGGGAACUGCAUUUGUGACUGCAUGGCUAGAGUACGGUAGAGGGGGAUGGAAUUCCGCGUGUAGCAGUGAAAUGCGUGGAUAUGCGGAGGAACACCGAUGGCGAAGGCAAUCCCCUGGACCUGUACUGACGCUCAUGCACGAAAG
rnacentral:rRNA from 1 species